CAAAGAAUAGUUUAUAAAAAUAAUAAUUUUGGAGAUUAUAGAUAGAAAAAUUUUCUUUCUUUGA
rnacentral:tRNA from 1 species